ensembl:lncRNA novel transcript
CAGGGGGUGGGCGAAGAGAGCGCCAGUGCGUAGCGACGAUUCUGGGAGAGGAGGUGCUCGGAGGAAAGGGCGGGGGUUGCUGAUGUAAUGGGGAGAAGUGAUUAAUCCUUCGGUUCGCCGUUUCAGCUUCCCCCCUACCCCAACCUUCACCCGAUUUUUUUGAGCUGAAAAAAAAGUGGAACGAGGGAGCCAAUCUUUGGUAACUCGGGUUUUCUGUGGUAGGUGGGUUCAAAAUCUGAGCUGUAGGGAGCGCUAGAGAUUUCGUGCCCUUUAGCCAAGCUGAGGGUAUUUGCAAACCCUGAAGAUUUCCGUCUCCGAGCUUUGGGCUUGGUAAGCGAAGUUUGGAGUCGGUGCCUAAUCGUAUAUCAUCUAAACCUUGAAAAGGCUUUGACCUUUGGCCAAUUUGAUUUGUUCUUUGAAGAAGUGUAUACAAUGUGUGGGAAAAUAAUAUGUGAGAGGAGAGAAGUAAAUGUGUUGAUGUUGUGAUUGUUUAUGUGAUUUAAUUUUUAAUUUUUUUUUUUUAGGUCCCACAAACUGCAAGGAAAAGAAAAACCCUCAACAGGAAUUACCUUUAUACCUGAUGCCCCCAACAUAAUCUCUCUCCAAGGGAAACGUGUUUUUAUUGCCUUGCGGCUGAAAAUGUAUUCUCGAUUCUCCCCCUUCUCUCUUUUGUUGUGCAUUUUUUGGAUGUGGUAAAACUGGCAGUUUAUCUGAUUAUCUGGUUUUCAGAACUUUGGGCGAUGUCUCUGAGUGUCAUCAGUUGCUCUCUAGGUUUGACAUAGAUAAUUAAGCAACUACAAAGCGUGAUAAAGCUUUUGAGAGGGAGGAAAAUGUAUUUUGGAAGGAGGGAGAGACGCAAAGAGGCGAGCCUGUGUGUUGAGUCCCAGACUUGGUGUGUGACUACAGGCAAAGUACUUCACCUUUCUAGAUGUCAGCCCCGCCCCCCUCACCUCCCAAGUUUAAAUAAGAACUUAUUUUAGACUACAUGAUCCUGUUUUCAAUUUUUAAGAGUUCUGUGAUUUUGAGAUGAUCUCUCUUUAGUCCAGAAAAAUAGAGAAACGUAGGUCUAUGUUUGUUUCUCAAAAAAAUAUUUGAGGAGGACAGCUGUUACAAAACAGCUGGAGAACUCCAAAUUUUUAUGGUGGUUAGCUAGGUGCAAAUGGGUACAAUUUUAGGUUUGUUCAAAUAAACAUAGGGGAAAAGUAAAAGUACAGGAAAAUUACGUUAUACAUAUAAGUGUGUCCAUCAUUUCUGAUUUUUCUAAAAAUUUACUUUUUUAUUUGACAAGUACUUUUUGGCUCCUUCCGUGUAUGCAUUAAUAUGUAUAUAAGGUGUUAUGGGAAAUACUAAUAAAAGGAAAAUAUUGGGCAUAAA